CUCGCUAGGCGUUUGCUAAAGUGUCUAGGGCACCUCAUCAGGGCAACAUACAGUCUUCCAGGUUUUCAGACGUACUUCACUUCUGGUGAAAAGAUAAAUAACAUAUACAGAUAUACAUUAAAGCAUCUAAUAUUAUAAAGAAGAGUUUCUCUCCUUUCUGGUUGAGACAUUUCAUCAAUUCAACGCAGGAAAAGACGACAUGUGUCCCAUUCGGUAAAACACACCGUUUCAUUUAUUUGUGAAUCGAUCUGUGCGGGCUUUCUAAUUGUUAUGGGCCUCAUGUGUGGAUGAAGAUACCAUCUUGACAGCCCGAUAGAGGUGGCGACCUAAUCCUCUCUUUACGCCGUCUCAUCUUCUCUCUUCGUUCUAUUGCGAUUUCUGAUCUUCUUCUCCAUCACCGAACGGUUCCAGUUUCGGAUUCUUCGUGUUAUUGCGACGUCUGAUCUUCUUCUCCAUCAAUCAACCACGAUGUAGCUUUGAAUGCGCGAUUUUCAUCACCUAGGCGCUGUAUCAGUGAGUAUAAAAAGGCACCUUGAUAGUCGCCGUUUUCCUUCUUGGCCUUCACCGUCAAUCAUAGCCGCUCCUCUGACCGAUUGAGAAACGAGUUGGUGUUGUAGAUGAGCAGUUGGAGUUUCUUCAGUUGGUUCAAAGUAUAUGGCUGCUUAAAUUUUAACAAGACUUAUUCGAACUGUUGGAUCCUUGGCAGCUUUAAGACACAGCAGCAGUAUUAUCUCAGCUUCUAUGCUCUUUCUUAUAUACAAAAAUAUGUCCAAGACUCCAGGGGAAACAAAGAAGUCAAUCUGAACAUCUUUUCCAGACAUUUGUGUUCGUGAUGUGGUGAUAUGACACGCCAAAUGAUACCUUACUGCUUCAGCCGUCUAUAAUUUCUGCCAGGAGACGUUUUAGAAACAUUGGCAUCAAGAGCAAGCGACUGGUCGUUGAUUGCAUAGAUGUUUAAGAACUGAGACAAACUUGGGAAGAGGCACAUAAACUGCUGAUAAAGAUUUUGAAGAAUAUGAUGAACAACCGUGUUUUGGGGAAAAAGACUGUUUUUGCGUUACGUUUUAGGUUGAUGCCUCCAUUUUCUCCUGUAGGAGAUCACUUAUGUACAAAGUGAUUUACGGUUGAAGGUUGCAGUUUAAACCUCUUUUUCUGUUCUCAUUUCUUAAAAAUUCUACAACCAACGUAAUCUCCCUUGCUUUGUGUAAUAUUCAUCCCCAUUUAUUUAUUUCAUAUCAUUUAUAUAUCUUUACUUUGUAUUUUGAUUGUCAAUUUUCGCUUUGUAUAUGCUCAGUUAUCUCCAUA